UUUUGGACAAUGGGCGCAAGCCUGAUCCAGCAAUGCCGCGUGAGUGAAGAAGGCCUUCGGGUUGUAAAGCUCUUUCGUCAGGGAAGAAACGGUGAGCUCUAAUACAGUUUGCUAAUGACGGUACCUGAAGAAUAAGCACCGGCUAACUACGUGCCAGCAGCCGCGGUAAUACGUAGGGUGCAAGCGUUAAUCGGAAUUACUGGGCGUAAAGCGUGCGCAGGCGGUUAUGUAAGUCAGAUGUGAAAUCCCCGGGCUCAACCUGGGAAUGGCAUUUGAGACUGCAUGGCUAGAGUGUGUCAGAGGGGGGUAGAAUUCCACGUGUAGCAGUGAAAUGCGUAGAGAUGUGGAGGAAUACCGAUGGCGAAGGCAGCCCCCUGGGAUAACACUGACGCUCAUCACGAA
rnacentral:rRNA from 1 species